rnacentral:rRNA from 1 species
CCAAACCAACAAGCUUGCUUGUUGGGGUUGUAGGACACUCUAUACGGAGUUACAAAGGACGACAUUAGACGAAUCAUCUGGAAAGAUGAAUCAAAGAAGGUAAUAAUCCUGUAGUCGAAAAUGUUGUCUCUCUUGAGUGGAUCCUGAGUACGACGGAACACGUGAAAUUCCGUCGGAAUCUGGGAGGACCAUCUCCUAAGGCUAAAUACUCUCUAGUGACCGAUAGUGAACCAGUACCGUGAGGGAAAGGUGAAAAGCACCCCGGAAGGGGAGUGAAAUAGAACCUGAAACCGUGUGCUUACAAGUAGUCAGAGCCCGUUAAUGGGUGAUGGCGUGCCUUUUGUAGAAUGAACCGGCGAGUUACGAUUUGAUGCAAGGUUAAGCAGUAAAUGUGGAGCCGUAGCGGAAGCGAGUCUGAAUAGGGCGUUUAGUAUUUGGUCGUAGACCCGAAACCAGGUGAUCUACCCUUGGUCAGGUUGAAGUUCAGGUAACACUGAAUGGAGGACCGAACCGACUUACGUUGAAAAGUGAGCGGAUGAACUGAGGGUAGCGGAGAAAUUUCAAUCGAACCUGGAGAUAGCUGGUUCUCUCCGAAAUAGCUUUAGGGCUAGCCUCAAGUGAUGAUUAUUGGAGGUAGAGCACUGUUUGGACGAGGGGCCCCUCUCGGGUUACCGAAUUCAGACAAACUCCGAAUGCCAAUUAAUUUAACUUGGGAGUCAGAACAUGGGUGAUAAGGUCCGUGUUCGAAAGGGAAACAGCCCAGACCACCAGCUAAGGUCCCAAAAUAUAUGUUAAGUGGAAAAGGAUGUGGCGUUGCCCAGACAACUAGGAUGUUGGCUUAGAAGCAGCCAUCAUUUAAAGAGUGCGUAAUAGCUCACUAGUCGAGUGACACUGCGCCGAAAAUGUACCGGGGCUAAACAUAUUACCGAAGCUGUGGAUUGUCCUUUGGACAAUGGUAGGAGAGCGUUCUAAGGGCGUUGAAGCAUGAUCGUAAGGACAUGUGGAGCGCUUAGAAGUGAGAAUGCCGGUGUGAGUAGCGAAAGACGGGUGAGAAUCCCGUCCACCGAUUGACUAAGGUUUCCAGAGGAAGGCUCGUCCGCUCUGGGUUAGUCGGGUCCUAAGCUGAGGCCGACAGGCGUAGGCGAUGGAUAACAGGUUGAUAUUCCUGUACCACCUAUAAUCGUUUUAAUCGAUGGGGGGACGCAGUAGGAUAGGCGAAGCGUGCGAUUGGAUUGCACGUCUAAGCAGUAAGGCUGAGUAUUAGGCAAAUCCGGUACUCGUUAAGGCUGAGCUGUGAUGGGGAGAAGACAUUGAGUCUUCGAGUCGUUGAUUUCACACUGCCGAGAAAAGCCUCUAGAUAGAAAAUAGGUGCCCGUACCGCAAACCGACACAGGUAGUCAAGAUGAGAAUUCUAAGGUGAGCGAGCGAACUCUCGUUAAGGAACUCGGCAAAAUGACCCCGUAACUUCGGGAGAAGGGGUGCUCUUUAGGGUUAACGCCCAGAAGAGCCGCAGUGAAUAGGCCCAAGCGACUGUUUAUCAAAAACACAGGUCUCUGCUAAACCGUAAGGUGAUGUAUAGGGGCUGACGCCUGCCCGGUGCUGGAAGGUUAAGAGGAGUGGUUAGCUUCUGCGAAGCUACGAAUCGAAGCCCCAGUAAACGGCGGCCGUAACUAUAACGGUCCUAAGGUAGCGAAAUUCCUUGUCGGGUAAGUUCCGACCCGCACGAAAGGCGUAACGAUUUGGGCACUGUCUCAACGAGAGACUCGGUGAAAUCAUAGUACCUGUGAAGAUGCAGGUUACCCGCGACAGGACGGAAAGACCCCGUGGAGCUUUACUGUAGCCUGAUAUUGAAAUUCGGCACAGCUUGUACAGGAUAGGUAGGAGCCUUUGAAACGUGAGCGCUAGCUUACGUGGAGGCGCUGGUGGGAUACUACCCUAGCUGUGUUGGCUUUCUAACCCGCACCACUUAUCGUGGUGGGAGACAGUGUCAGGCGGGCAGUUUGACUGGGGCGGUCGCCUCCUAAAAGGUAACGGAGGCGCUCAAAGGUUCCCUCAGAAUGGUUGGAAAUCAUUCAUAGAGUGUAAAGGCAUAAGGGAGCUUGACUGCGAGACCUACAAGUCGAGCAGGGUCGAAAGACGGACUUAGUGAUCCGGUGGUUCCGCAUGGAAGGGCCAUCGCUCAACGGAUAAAAGCUACCCCGGGGAUAACAGGCUUAUCUCCCCCAAGAGUUCACAUCGACGGGGAGGUUUGGCACCUCGAUGUCGGCUCAUCGCAUCCUGGGGCUGUAGUCGGUCCCAAGGGUUGGGCUGUUCGCCCAUUAAAGCGGUACGCGAGCUGGGUUCAGAACGUCGUGAGACAGUUCGGUCCCUAUCCGUCGUGGGCGUAGGAAAUUUGAGAGGAGCUGUCCUUAGUACGAGAGGACCGGGAUGGACACACCUCUGGUGUACCAGUUGUCGUGCCAACGGCAUAGCUGGGUAGCUAUGUGUGGACGGGAUAAGUGCUGAAAGCAUCUAAGCAUGAAGCCCCCCUCAAGAUGAGAUUUCCCAACUUCGGUUAUAAGAUCCCUCAAAGAUGAUGAGGUUAAUAGGUUCGAGGUGGAAGCAUGGUGACAUGUGGAGCUGACGAAUACUAAUCGAUCGAAGACUUAAUCAA